rnacentral:rRNA from 1 species
GACGAACGCUGGCGGCGUGCUUAACACAUGCAAGUCGAACGAUGAAGUUCCUUCGGGAAUGGAUUAGUGGCGAACGGGUGAGGAACACGUGAGAAACCUGCCUUUCAUUUUGGGAUAACUCCGGGAAACCGGGGCUAAACCGAAUACUCCGUCUCGGCGGCAUCGCUGAGCCGGGAAAAAAUUUUGAUGAAAGAUGGUCUCGCGGCCUAUCAGCUAGUUGGUGAGGUAAUGGCUCACCAAGGCAACGACGGGUAGACGGCCUGAGAGGGCGACACGCCACACUGGGACUGAGACACGGCCCAGACUCCGACGGGAGGCAGCAGUGGGGAAUAUUGGGCAAUGGGCGCAAGCCUGACCCAGCGACGCCGCGUGAGGGAUGAAGGCCUUCGGGUUGUAAACCUCUUUCAGUAGGGAAGAAGCGAAAGUGACGGUACCUAAAGAAGAAGCACCGGCUAACUAUGUGCCAGCCGCCGCCGUAA